AUACGUAGGUGGCAAGCGUUAUCCGGAAUUAUUGGGCGUAAAGCGCGCGCAGGCGGUUUCUUAAGUCUGAUGUGAAAGCCCACGGCUCAACCGUGGAGGGUCAUUGGAAACUGGGAAGCUUGAGUGCAGAAGAGGAGAGUGGAAUUCCAUGUGUAGCGGUGAAAUGCGUAGAGAUAUGGAGGAACACCAGUGGCGAAGGCGACUCUCUGGACUGUAACUGACGCUGAGGCUCGAAAGCGUGGGGAGC
rnacentral:rRNA from 1 species